AUGCACGCUGGCGGCGUGCCUAAUCCCUGCCAGUCGAGCGCACAGACGAGGAGCUUGCUCCUCUGACGUUAGCGGCGGACGGGUGAGUAACACGUGGAUAACCUACCUAUAAGACUGGGAUAACUUCGGGAAACCGGAGCUAAUACCGGAUAAUAUAUUGAACCGCAUGGUUCAAUAGUGAAAGACGGUUUUGCUGUCACUUAUAGAUGGAUCCGCGCCGCAUUAGCUAGUUGGUAAGGUAACGGCUUACCAAGGCAACGAUGCGUAGCCGACCUGAGAGGGGGAUCCGGCACACUGGAACUGAGACACGGUCCAGACUCCUACGGGAGGCAGCAGUAGGGAAUCUUCCGCAAUGGGCGAAAGCCUGACGGAGCAACGCCGCGUGAGUGAUGAAGGUCUUCGGAUCGUAAAACUCUGUUAUUAGGGAAGAACAAAUGUGUAAGUAACUAUGCACGUCUUGACGGUACCUAAUCAGAAAGCCACGGCUAACUACGUG
rnacentral:rRNA from 1 species